UACGUAGGGAGCGAGCGUUAUCCGGAAUUAUUGGGCGUAAAGGGUGCGUAGAUGGCAUAGUAAGUCUUUUGUAAAAAUGCUGGGCUCAACCCAGUAGGGCAAAAGAUACUGCAAAGCUAGAGUAUGACAGAGGCAAGUGGAACUACAUGUGUAGCGGUAAAAUGCGUAAAUAUAUGUAAGAACACCAGUGGCGAAGGCGGCUUACUGGACGGUAACUGACGUUGAGGCUCGAAAGCGUGGGGAGCAAACAGG
rnacentral:rRNA from 1 species